GUGACGUGUAUGCAAAUUUUAUACCGAUUUUGUUUACUUUUAUGUCAUUGUUUUUAUUUAGUUCGUAUGUUUAUAAGUUACAUUUUGUGUUGAUGUCAGUUAAAGUAACCAAUCAAAUGAGCAACUGAUGUGACGAGCUACUGUUUGUUUCACGUGAAAAGAUAAUACACGCUGUAGUAAGCUAGAAGAGUAAACAGGAAGUAACGGUCGUUGACUUAGCGUACACAUUUAAAAAAAGUUAAAUCUGGAAGUUUAUCUUUUCUUUUUAUUUGUUGAACCCUGUGUGGGGGCGGGGAAAGAAUAUUUCCACUGUAGAGAGACGUUGGAUGCAGUAAACGUCCACUAAUCAAUCCGCCGUUGCAACUUAUGUAAAGGAGCAGGAAGCCCUGUUGGAAUAAUUGGUGGAGGUGGAUGCCUUGGAUUUUUGAGCUAGCCGUCGGUACAAUUGACAUUUACAGAGCGCCCUUUCAUACCUUGCACUGAGGACGCAAUCGUGAUGACAUCUUAAACAUAAUACCGACGAUACCUCUCAUCCGCUCAUGGUUAAUGUGAUCAGACAUGUCGACAGUAAUAGCAACAAUAUACAAAUACGUACACCAUUACUAAUUGUAGCCCUUCUCAGUUCAAAUUUUAAAGCUCACGAUAAUAGUACAUUAUAUA